rnacentral:rRNA from 1 species
UACGUAGGAUGCUAGCGUUGUCCGGAAUCACUGGGCGUAAAGGGUCCGUAGGCGGUCUGGUAAGUCUCCUGUGAAAACUUCGGGCUCAACUCGAAGAGGUCGGGGGAUACUGCUGGACUUGAGACUGUCAGAGGCAGGUGGAAUUCCCGGUGUAGUGGUGAAAUGCGUAGAUAUCGGGAGGAACACCAGUGGCGAAAGCGGCCUGCUGGGACAGUUCUGACGCUGAGGGACGAAAGCGUGGGGAGCAAACCGG